rnacentral:lncRNA from 1 species
GGGGAAACUGCAGGCCUUUGAAUUUUCUUCACAGCUCUGGGACUUUGUACUUUCCCACAUGUGGAAAGGAGCCAUGUGCACCAGCUCUGAGAUCACCACCAAGGACUUCAGUGAGAAAAAGGAAAUUGUGGCAGAGUCAGAAUGGAACCGCCCCUGCUAAUGGUCAUCAAGCCAUCCAGAAUGGAGAAAGUGUCCAGGAGUAAGCCCAGAAGAGAAAACAAUGCAGGAUGCCUUGAGGUGACAGAAUUCAAGAUCCAUGUCCCAUGUGAAAGGCAAGUUGGAUGAAGAGAGGAAGCCCUUCUGAACAUCCGUUUGACUGUGGAUUCUUCAUGGAUUGCCAUAAACUACUCACAUCUAACAGAAAAUCUUAUAUGAUAUCUGGAUUCUUGAUGUGUGCAUGAUAGGCUAGCAAUAGAUCUUUUGAUUGAGAGCUCACCCACUCUUUCUACCAAUGUGCUUAAUUAAGAAGUUAUAAAAUUAAAAUAUAGCUCCCUAUGGUCCUUAAUCCCCAGACAUUUUGUUUAAGUCAUUUUGCUUAUUAAUGAAAUC